GGGGAUGGUCGCUAGAAUUGUAAAUUCUGGAGAGUUUGUAAGUCUUCUGUCCCCAGGGAGCUAUCAUGCUUUGUUUACUUUUGUUCUGUUGGUUAGGCGCUGCUUCUCAUUGCAAGUAUGAAUUUCAAACUACCCUGUUCUCUUUUUAACUGUUUUCCUGGUUCUCUCCGUACGGCAGGGAAAGACUCUCGUAUCCUUGUCUUCAGGCUCGGUGCUGUCCACGAAGAUACGGAGACUAAAAAAAUCAUAAGAAGCAAAAUAUGACUGCAGGGAAAACAAGCUGGAGAGAACAAAAGACUCAUCACGGCGGGACAGCGUGGAGACUGAAA